rnacentral:rRNA from 1 species
AUGAACGCUGGCGGCGUGCCUAAUACCUGCAAGUCGAGCGAACAGACGAGGAGCUUGCUCCUCUGACGUUAGCGGCGGACGGGUGAGUAACACGUGGAUAACCUACCUAUAAGACUGGGAUAACUUCGGGAAACCGGAGCUAAUACCGGAUAAUAUAUUUAACCGCUUGGUUCAAUAGUGAAAUACGGUUUUGCUUUCACUUAUAGAUGGAUCCUCGCCGCAUUAGCUAGUUGGUAAGGUAACGGCUUACCAAGGCAACGAUUCGUAGCCGACCUGAGAGGGUGAUCGGCCACACUGGAACUGAGACACGGUCCAGACUCCUACGGGAGGCAGCAGUAGGGAAUCUUCCGCAAUGGGCGAAAGCCUGACGGAGCAACGCCGCGUGAGUGAUGAAGGUCUUCGGAUCGUAAAACUCUGUUAUUAGGGAAGAACAAAUGUGUAAGUAACUAUGCACGUCUUGACGGUACCUAAUCAGAAAGCCACGGCUAACUACGUG